rnacentral:rRNA from 1 species
UACGUAGGGGGCAAGCGUUAUCCGGAUUUACUGGGUGUAAAGGGGGCGCAGACCGCGAUGCAAGCCAGGAGUGAAAGCCCGGGGCCCAACCCCGGGACUGCUCUUGGAACUGCGUGGUUGGAGUGCAGGAGGGGCAGGCGGAAUUCCUGGUGUAGCGGUGAAAUGCGUAGAUAUCAGGAGGAACACCGGUGGCGAAGGCGGCCUGCUGGACUGCAACUGACGUUGAGGCCCGAAAGCGUGGGGAGCAAACAGG